UGGCGGGACGGGGUGGAGUAACGCGUGGGUAACCUGCCUCAUACAGGGGGAUAACAGUUAGAAAAUGACUGCUAAUACCGCAUAAGACCACAGCACCGCAUGGUGCAGGGGUAAAAACUCCGGUGGUAUGAGAUGGACCCGCGUCUGAUUAGGUAGUUGGUGGGGUAACGGCCUACCAAGCCGACGAUCAGUAGCCGACCUGAGAGGGUGACCGGCCACAUUGGGACUGAGACACGGCCCAA
rnacentral:rRNA from 1 species